CGCUAGCUACAGGCUUAACACAUGCAAGUCGAGGGGCAGCAUGGCCUUAGCUUGCUAAGGCCGAUGGCGACCGGCGCACGGGUGAGUAACGCGUAUCCAACCUGCCUUACACUCUUGGACAGCCUUCUGAAAGGGAGAUUAAUACAAGAUGUUAUCAUGAGUAAGCAUUUUCGCAUGAUUAAAGGUUUACCGGUGUAAGAUGGGGAUGCGUUCCAUUAGAUAGUAGGCGGGGUAACGGCCCACCUAGUCUUCGAUGGAUAGGGGUUCUGAGAGGAAGGUCCCCCACAUUGGAACUGAGACACGGUCCAAACUCCUACGGGAGGCAGCAGUGAGGAAUAUUGGUCAAUGGACGAGAGUCUGAACCAGCCAAGUAGCGUGAAGGAUGAAGGUUCUAUGGAUUGUAAACUUCUUUUAUACGGGAAUAAACGGAUUCACGUGUGGAUUUUUGCAUGUACCGUAUGAAUAAGGAUCGGCUAACUCCGUGCCAGCAGCCGCGGUAAUACGGAGGAUCCGAGCGUUAUCCGGAUUUAUUGGGUUUAAAGGGAGCGUAGAUGGGUUGUUAAGUCAGUUGUGAAAGUUUGCGGCUCAACCGUAAAAUUGCAAUUGAUACUGGCAGUCUUGAGCACAGUUGAGGUAGGCGGAAUUCGUGGUGUAGCGGUGAAAUGCUUAGAUAUCACGAAGAACUCCGAUUGCGAAGGCAGCUUACUAACCUGUAACUGACAUUGAUGCUCGAAAGUGUGGGUAUCAAACAGGAUUAGAUACCCUGGUAGUCCACACGGUAAACGAUGAAUACUCGCUGUAGGCGAUAUACAGUCUGCGGCCAAGCGAAAGCAUUAAGUAUUCCACCUGGGGAGUACGCCGGCAACGGUGAAACUCAAAGGAAUUGACGGGGGCCCGCACAAGCGGAGGAACAUGUGGUUUAAUUCGAUGAUACGCGAGGAACCUUACCCGGGCUUAAAUUGCAACCGAAUAUGGCGGAAACGCUAUAGCUAGCAAUAGCGGUUGUGAAGGUGCUGCAUGGUUGUCGUCAGCUCGUGCCGUGAGGUGUCGGCUUAAGUGCCAUAACGAGCGCAACCCUUGUCGAUAGUUACUAACAGGUUAUGCUGAGGACUCUGUCGGGACUGCCAUCGUAAGAUGUGAGGAAGGUGGGGAUGACGUCAAAUCAGCACGGCCCUUACGUCCGGGGCUACACACGUGUUACAAUGGGGGGUACAGAGGGCCGCUACCACGCGAGUGGAUGCCAAUCCCAAAAACCUCUCUCAGUUCGGACUGGAGUCUGCAACCCGACUCCACGAAGCUGGAUUCGCUAGUAAUCGCGCAUUAGCCACGGCGCGGUGAAUACGUUCCCGGGCCUUGUACACACCGCCCGUCAAGCCAUGGGAGCCGGGGGUACCUGAAGUGCGUAACCGCGAGGAGCGCCCUAGGGUAAAACUGGUGAAUG
rnacentral:rRNA from 1 species